rnacentral:rRNA from 1 species
CGACUYUCGGCAACGGAUAUCUCGGCUCUSGCAUYGAUGAAGAACGUAGCGAAAUGCGAUACUUGGUGUGAAUUGCAGAAUCCCGUGAACCAUCGAGUCUUUGAACGCAAGUUGCGCCCGAAGCCUUCGGGCCGAGGGCAMGUCUGCCUGGGCGUCAMA